ACGACCUUACUUGAACAGGAUCUGUUCUAUAGGUUGUACCUCUGUAUCCUUGAUUUCUAAGGAGACAGGAACCUCAGUCUGGUGGAUGAACCAUGGCCGUGUGAUCAGAGCGUGAUUAACGGCCUUGUGACCCUCGGGAUCAUUAAGGCAGUAGAUGAUCGUUCUCAGCCAUCUCUUCAGCCGGCUGGGGUGGUCACACGGUUGUCUGACAGACC